rnacentral:rRNA from 1 species
ACAUAACUGAUGCCUCCGCGUAUCGACUUUGUGCGCAUUUUAGCUAUUAUGUGUUCUUUUAAUUAAAAUGAUUCUUUUUAAGAUUCAUCUAUUAAAAAUUUGCUUCGGCAUAAUUUUUUUUGAUGAUCUUGUUACUUUGAGUAAAUUAGAGUGUUCAAAGCAAACAGAUAUAGCAUUUGUGCGUUUGAAUACUACAGCAUGGAAUAACAAAAUUGAACAAGUCAGAAUUUUUUUGUUCUUUUUUCUUAUUUUGGCUUAGUUACGAUUAAUAGGAGUAGCUUGGGGGCAUUUGUAUUCAGAUGUCAGAGGUGAAAUUCUUAGAUUUUCUGGAGACAAACAACUGCGAAAGCAUUUGCCUAAAAUACUUCCAUUAAUCAAGAACGAAAGUUAAGGGAGUGAAGACGAUCAGAUACCGUCGUAAUCUUAACCAUAAACUAUGCCGACUAGGCUUUGGAUGAAAGAUUUUAAAAUAAGAGUUUUUCUUUUCUCUCCGGAGAUUAGAACUCUUAGAUAGCUUCCUUCAGUGCCUUAUGAGAAAUCAAAGUCUUUGGGUUCUGGGGCGAGUAUUCGCGCAAGCGAGAAAGUUAAAAGAAUUGACGGAAGGGCACCACCAGGCGUGGAGCUUGCGGCUUAAUUUGACUCAACACGGGAAAACUCACUAGUUUAAGACAAGAGUAGGAUUGACAGAUUAAUAGCUCUUUCUUGAUUUCUUGGAUGGUGAUGCAUGGCCGUUUUUAGUUCGUGAAUAUGAUUUGUCUGGUUAAUUCCGAUAACGAACGAGAUCUUAACCUGCUAAUUAGCGGCAAAUACGAUAUAUUCUUAUGUAGAAUUGAAUAUAGUGGAUUUGUUAGAUUUUGAAGAAAAUAUUGGAAUUACGUUAAAUGUGAUUCCUUUCCCUUUUCUACUUAAUUUACAUUUCCAUCUAUUUCUUUUUUGCGUAUGAAUGUAUUUGCUUGAUUGUAAAGCUUCUUAGAGGAACGAUGUGUG